CUUUAAAGGUCCUGAAGGAACGUUGAAGACGACGACGUUGAUAGGCCGGGUGUGUAAGCGCAGCGAUGCGUUGAGCUAACCGGUACUAAUGAACCGUGAGGCUUAACCUUACAACGCCGAAGGUGUUU
rnacentral:rRNA from 1 species